UACGUAGGGGGCAAGCGUUGUCCGGAAUCAUUGGGCGUAAAGCGCGUGUAGGCGGCUCGGUAAGUCCGCUCUGAAAGCCCGGGGCUCAACCCCCGGGAGGCGGGUGGAUACUGCUGAGCUCGAGUCCGGAAGAGGAGUGUGGAAUUCCUGGUGUAGCGGUGAAAUGCGCAGAUAUCAGGAGGAACACCAAUGGCGAAGGCAGCACUCUGGGACGGUACUGACGCUGAGACGCGAAAGCGUGGGGAGCAAACAGG
rnacentral:rRNA from 1 species